ensembl:lncRNA
AUGGGGUUCUUCAAAAUCCAGCCUCGGAUGCCCUCCUCCCGCAGCGAUGGCCUCCACCUCUGGCCUGGCGAGCUCACGUGGUCCAGCUUGUGCAACUCCGGGUUUCCGGCUUUUGGUCACUCAGGGUUGGACCUGGGACUGGUGCUGGUCGGCCCUGCAGGCGCUGUGGACUGGGGAAGCACAGAGAUUCCCCGCCCCGUUCCCGGGACUGGGGCGCACGCCACGAUGCCCCGCCCCACUCUUCACCCCCUGAAUGCAGGGCGCUUGCUGCUACUCGGUGGCUCAAGCACCGUCCCCAUUCUCUGCCCGCCCCUCUCCCGGGACACUGCGCACGCACCACAGAGCCACGCCCCUCUCCUCACCCCGCCACCCGGACGCAGAGCGUCCGCCGCCGCGUUUCCGGCGACAUCUCGCUGUCAUCACCGCGGCUUGCGCGCCCUUGUAGACAGCCCGGGCCUUCGUGAGACCGAACUGUGAGUUGGACACAGAAGUUUCUAAAAAAGUGCAGGCCUAGGGUAGUCUCCCGUCUGGACAGAGAAGAGAAGAAUGCAGGACACCGGCUCAGU